ensembl:lncRNA
AUAAUUAUUCUGUGGCUGAAUACAGAUUGGUGAGUGUAAUUAUCAUUACCUUUGACCGUUAAUAGCCAUUGAAGUCGUGACCUUUGACUUUUAAUCCCCGGGGAAAAUGUUGCCAUAUACUCUAAAAAUACUGAAUUAUAUAUGGAUUGAUUCACAUUAAUUAGUGUCAAAUUUAAUGCAUAGAACAGUUUUAUUUGCAGUUAAUUUUACAGUCUGAGCUAAAGGACAGACUGUUUGGAAUUAAUCUGAAUGUCUAGUGUCACAUCCAUCCAAUAUUUCACUCAUUAGUGUUCAUCAGUUAUUAGAUGCACUGUGUGUCCAGACAGUGCUGAAAGAGCUCAAAUGUUAUUUCAGCCAUAAUAAUUUGUUUAUUAAACUAAAAGGCCAUCAAUUAGGUUUAAUCAAAAGCAGCAGACAGGGGAAAUUAUUAUAUUUAUCAGUUUUAAAGGAAUAUUUUCCCCACAACAUAAUGUUUGCUGAAAAUGUACUCACCCACAGGUCAUCCAAGAGUUUGUUUCUCCAUCAGAACAGAUUUGGGGAAAUGUAGCAUUACAUCACUUGCUCACAAAUGGAUGCUCUGCAGUGAAUGGGUGCCAUCAGAAUGAGAGUCCAAACAGUCCAAAAUAAUGUUUGUUAGAAACAAAAUCCAUUAAUAAACUAUUUUAACUUGAGUUCUUCUAGCCCAAAAUGGGAGACUAUAGUCCAUAAUUUUGUUUCUUCCAGUGAAAAAGUCCAUCCCUUGUUGUCCUUAACAUUAAAAUCCAUCUACAUAUUUGUUUAGAGCUGAUUUGGACUGUUUUUGCUAGUAAUUGGUGCUUGAUGAUGGAUUCGUUUCUUACAAACCUGCAGCUUUUCACUUCACAAGACAUUAAUGGAUGGACUGGAGUGGCGUGGAUUAUUGUGAUGUUUUUAUCAGCUGUUUGGACUCUCAUUCUGACGGCACCCAUUCACUGCAGAGGAUCCACUGGUUAGCAAGUGAUGUAAUGCUGAAUUUCUCCAAAUCUGUUCCCGUGAAGAAACAAACUCAUCUGUAUCUUGGAUGGCCUGAGGGUGAGUACAUUUUCAGCAAAUAUUCAUUUUUGGGAGAACU